GCCCUGUUCGCAACGGAUAACUCCUAUUCAAUCGCAGCCUCAAUACUCUGUGGCAGAUGAAAUCAAUGCAAGCAUUGUCCCAAUACGCACCAUAGAGGGGGUUCUUAAUAUGACACAGGAAACCUCUUGCUGGAUUGUGGGAAACAUUGUGUCUUUAGAGGUCGGUAAAGAUGACUGGUCCUAUACGUCGUGUAAGACAUGUCCAAAGAAAGUUCUAGAGAGCAAAGAUAGAUACUGAUUUGAUCAUUGUAGGCGUGUAGGCUUCAAGGCUAUGCUAAGGUAUAGGCUGCAAGUAAUCGUGACUGAUGGAAGUGGUUGUAUGAAGCUCCUUCUAUGGAACAAAGAAGCAGAGCAAAUGGUGCAAAAGGUUGCGGAGAAAAUUAAGGAGUUAUCUAUAAGUCUAAUUGAUGGGAGUUUAAAAUACUUUGCUUCUGUAUUGUAUGUUUUCUGGAAUGAUAACAAAAUUAUUAUGUGCAUGUAAAGAAGUGGGAAAAAGGAGAGUCGUAUCCUAAGUCCUUGGAUACUAUUGUUGACAAAAGGUUCUUAUUCAAACUCAAUAUCACCUAUAAGAAUAUCAAUGCUGUUGAAGUGGUAUACAGCGUUUUAAAUAUUUCAGAUGAUGAGUAUCUCAUGUCCAUUUUUGGUUUUGCCAAUUCUUCUUUCAAUGCUUCUGUAAGUAUAGCAUGUUGCGAUUGGAACUAGAACUGAGUUGUGUUGAACAAUUUAUUGUUCAAACUAACAUCUAGCCUUCAAAUGAUCUUGGUUCCUGCAGUGCUCUCAACAUGUACCUAAUACCUCUACAACUGAAACAGGUGAUAAUAGCAAUGGACAUGAGGCAAUUUCUCUGUCCAACGUAAGAAGUUAUUGUAUUUUUUUUAUUGUUAUCCACCUUAUAUAGAGAUGAUUGGGCCUGAUCAAGAGGUCACUCAUGUUUUACUUGCUAAUUCUCGAGUUUUCGUGAACAAUAGGAUUCAGCAGUUGAGAGCAACUGUGAUAGCUCCUAUGAGACUACAGCCAAGAGGUCCUCUCCUGAUAUAGGUGAUGGCUCAACAGCAGAAGCAGUUGUGUCUGUAGAUGUGCAAGCAUCAACUAACAAGACUUUUAAGAGGAAUUGUGGAAAAAAGGUUGGAUUGAAAACU